AUCAGGUAGGGAUACCCGCUGAACUUAAGCAUAUCAAUAAGCGGAGGAAAAGAAACCAACCGGGAUUGCCUCAGUAACGGCGAGUGAAGCGGCAAGAGCUCAAAUUUGAAAGCUGGCUCCUUCGGAGUCCGCAUUGUAAUUUGCAGAGGAUGCUUUGGGUGCGGCCCCCGUCUAAGUGCCCUGGAACGGGCCGUCAGAGAGGGUGAGAAUCCCGUCUUGGGCGGGGUGUCCGUGCCCGUGUAAAGCUCCUUCGACGAGUCGAGUUGUUUGGGAAUGCAGCUCUAAAUGGGUGGUAAAUUUCAUCUAAAGCUAAAUACUGGCCGGAGACCGAUAGCGCACAAGUAGAGUGAUCGAAAGAUGAAAAGCACUUUGAAAAGAGAGUUAAACAGCACGUGAAAUUGUUGAAAGGGAAGCGCUUGCAACCAGACUCGCCCGCGGGGUUCAGCCGGCAUUCGUGCCGGUGUACUUCCCCGUGGGCGGGCCAGCGUCGGUUUGGGCGGCCGGUCAAAGGCCCCUGGAAUGUAGUGCCCUCCGGGGCACCUUAUAGCCAGGGGUGCAAUGCGGCCAGCCUAGACCGAGGAACGCGCUUCGGCUCGGACGCUGGCAUAAUGGUUGUAAACGAC
rnacentral:rRNA from 1 species